UCUAAUGUGGCAGAAAAGUGCGCUAGAUUUAAGCUCUAGAUAUAAGAGAAAGUCUCUUCUUUAGAA
rnacentral:tRNA from 1 species